rnacentral:rRNA from 1 species
UACGUAGGGGGGCAAGCGUUUGUCCGGAUUUAUUGGGCGUAAAGAGCGUGUAGGCGGCCAUACAGGUCCGUUGUGAAAACUCGAGGCUCAACCUCGAGACGUCGAUGGAAACCGUAUGGCUAGAGUCCGGAAGAGGAGAGUGGAAUUCCUGGUGUAGCGGUGAAAUGCGCAGAUAUCAGGAAGAACACCCGUGGCGAAGGCGGCUCUCUGGGACGGUACUGACGCUGAGACGCGAAAGCGUGGGGAGCGAACAGG